rnacentral:rRNA from 1 species
UAAGGAAUAUUGGGCGAUGGACGCAAGUCUGACCCAGCCAUGCCGCGUGGAGGAAGACGGCGCUCAGCGUUGUAAACUCCUUUUAUCAGGGAAGAACAGCAGAGAUGCGUUUCUGUGUGACGGUACCUGAAGAAUAAGCACCGGCUAACUCCGUGCCAGCAGCCGCGGUAAUACGGAGGGUGCAAGCGUUAUCCGGAUUCAUUGGGUUUAAAGGGUGCGUAGGCGGCUUUUUAAGUCAGUGGUGAAAUCCUGUCGCUUAACGAUAGAAUUGCCAUUGAUACUGAAGAGCUUGAGUACAAUUGAGGUAAGCGGAAUGUGUAGUGUAGCGGUGAAAUGCUUAGAUAUUACACAGAACACCGAUUGCGAAGGCAGCUUACUAAACUGUUACUGACGCUGAUGCACGAAAGCGUGGGGAGCGAACA